rnacentral:rRNA from 1 species
UGGGGAAUAUUGGACAAUGGGGGCAACCCUGAUCCAGCAAUGCCGCGUGAGUGAUGAAGGCCUUAGGGUUGUAAAGCUCUUUUGGCGGGGACGCGGUACCCGCAGAAUAGCGCCAUCUACUGACGGUACCGGAAGAAUAGCCCGGCUAACUAC